rnacentral:rRNA from 1 species
CGGGGCCCAUCCCGUAAGGCUAAAUACUCCCGAGAGACCGAUAGCGAACCAGUACCGUGAGGGAAAGGUGAAAAGAACCCCGAGCAGGGGAGUGAAAUAGACCCUGAACCCGUCUGCCUACAAGCGGUCGGAGCAUAGCAAUAUGUGACGGCGUGCCUUUUGCAUAAUGAACCUACGAGUUACCUUCCCCGGCAAGGUUAAGUACCUAAGGUACGGAGCCGAAGCGAAAGCGAGUCUGAAGAGGGCGGCCAGUCGGGGGGGGUAGACGCGAAACCGAGUGAUCUACCCUUGGCCAGGUUGAAGGUUGGGUAACACCAACUGGAGGACCGGAUGGGUAAGCGUUGAAAAGCUUUCCAAUGAGCUGAGGGUAGGGGUGAAAGGCUAAUCAAACUCGGAGAUAGCUCGUACUCCCCGAAAUGCAUUUAGGUGCAGCCUCUUUAUAGUAUAUCGUGAGGUAGAGCGACUGAUUGGAUGCGAGGGCUUCACCGCCUAUCAAGUCCAGAUAAACUCCGAAUGCGCGAUAUAUAUUUACAGGGAGUGAGGGCGCGGGUGCUAAGGUCCGUGUCCGAGAGGAGAAGAAUCCAGACCACCGGCUAAGGCCCCCAAAUGAUCGUUGAGUUGAACUAACGAGGUCGGAUCGCAGAGACAGCUAGGAUGUUGGCUUGGAAGCAGCCAUUCAUUUAAAGAGUGCGUAACAGCUCACUAGUCGAGCGAUCUGGCGUGGAUAAUAAUCGGGCAUAAACGAUCUGCCGAAGCCGUGGAUGUCGUAAGACAUGGUAGGGGAGCAUUCCAUGCGGCGUCGAAGAUGAGGGAUGACCCUUGUUGGAGCGCAUGGAAAAGCAAAUGUAGGUAUGAGUAACGAUAAGGGGGGCGAGAAACCCCCCCGCCGAAAGACCAAGGUUUCCUGAUCAACGCUAAUCGGAUCAGGGUGAGUCGGGACCUAAGGCAAAGCCGAACGGCGCCGCCGAUGGAAGAAUGGGUUAAUAUUCCCAUACUGCCUCAUGGAGUGACGUGGAGACGGAGAAGUGACAGUCCUGCCGGCUGACGGAAUAGCCGGUUGAAGGGUGUAGAUAUUGAUUCCCGUAGGCAAAUCCGCGGGGAGAGUCGAACCUGACAGUAUACCGAGUACUUGUACGAGGUAAUAUGGACGUAACCAUGCUCCCAAGAAAAUCCGCUAAACUUAUCCAUGCGGCACCCGUACCGUAAACGGACACACGUGGUCGGGUUGAGAAUACUGAGGCGCUCGAGUGACUCACGGUUAAGGAACUAGGCAAAUUGACCCUGUAACUUCGGGAUAAAGGGUCCUCGUCGUAAGGCGAGGCGCAGAGAAUAGGUCCAGGCAACUGUUUAACAAAAACACAUGGCUAUGCUAAAUGGAAACAUGACGUAUAUAGCCUGACACCUGCCCGGUGCUGGAAGGUUAAGAGGAGAUGUCAUCGCAAGAGAAGCGUUGAAUUGAAGCCCCAGUAAACGGCGGCCGUAACUAUAACGGUCCUAAGGUAGCGAAAUUCCUUGUC